rnacentral:rRNA from 1 species
AUUGAACGCUGGCGGCAUGCCUUACACAUGCAAGUCGAACGGUAACAGGUCUUCGGAUGCUGACGAGUGGCGCACGGGUGAGUAAUACAUCGGAACGUGCCCGAUCGUGGGGGAUAACGGAGCGAAAGCUUUGCUAAUACCGCAUACGAUCUACGGAUGAAAGCAGGGGACCGCAAGGCCUUGCGCGGACGGAGCGGCCGAUGGCAGAUUAGGUAGUUGGUGGGAUAAAAGCUUACCAAGCCGACGAUCUGUAGCUGGUCUGAGAGGACGACCAGCCACGCUGGGACUGAGACACGGCCCAGACUCCUACGGGAGGCAGCAGUGGGGAAUUUUGGACAAUGGGCGAAAGCCUGAUCCAGCCAUGCCGCGUGCAGGAUGAAGGCCUUCGGGUUGUAAACUGCUUUUGUACGGAACGAAAAGACUCUUUCUAAUAAAGAGGGUCCAUGACGGUACCGUAAGAAUAAGCACCGGCUAACUACGUG